CCGAAGUUUCCCUCAGGAUAGCUGGAGCCCAUGUGCGAGUUCUAUCGGGUAAAGCGAAUGAUUAGAGGCAUCGGGGGCGCAACGCCCUCGACCCAUUCUAAAACUUUAAAUAGGUAGGACGGCGCAGCUGCUUUGUUAGCCGCGCCACGGAAUCGAGAGCUCCAAGUGGGCCAUUUUUGGUAAGAGGAACUGGCGAUGCAGAAUGAACCGGAAGCCGGGUUACGGUGCCAAAUUGCGUGCUACCCGCGACCUCUACCCGGGUUAGAGUUAACAACGUGCGCCAUCAUGG
rfam:Helianthus annuus linkage group 6, whole genome shotgun sequence.